rnacentral:rRNA from 1 species
UACGAAGGGGGCGAGCGUUGUCCGGAUUCAUUGGGCGUAAAGAGCGUGUAGGCGGCCAGGUAGGUCGGUUGUGAAAACUGAAGGCUCAACCUUCAGACGUCGACCGAAACCAUCUGGCUAGAGUCCGGGAGAGGAGAGUGGAAUUCCUGGUGUAGCGGUGGAAUGCGCAGAUAUCAGGAAGAACACCCGUGGCGAAAGCGGCUCUCUGGAACGGUACUGACGCUGAGACGCGAAAGCGUGGGGAGCGAACAGG